rnacentral:lncRNA from 1 species
CUCGAACGAUGGUAAGUUCCGUCCGGACUCCUACAAGAGCCGGAUUCCAUCUCCAACCCCGGCUACGAACAAACUUCGUCUAAGCUCCUAUGGGAGCCGGACUUCGUCCCCAACUUCGAUUACAGAAAGACCUCAUCCGAGCUCCUACAGGUGCCGGACUUCGCUUCUGACUCUAGCUACAGACUCCAACCGAACUUCGGCCGACAAGUCUGGACCCCCUGGCAGGCCAC